GUGCUCGUAGCUCAAUUGGCAGAGCGCUUCGCUGUGGCCGAAGUGGUUGCCGGUUCGAUCCCGGUCGAGCACC
rnacentral:tRNA from 2 species